rnacentral:rRNA from 1 species
GGCCGCGGUAAUACGAAGGGUGCAAGCGUUACUCGGAAUUACUGGGCGUAAAGAGUUGCGUAGGUGGCAUAGUAAGUAGGUAGUGAAAGCGUGUGGCUCAACCAUACUCACAUUAUCUAAACUACUAAGCUAGAAUAUAGAAGAGGUAGCUGGAAUUCCCUGUGUAGGAGUGAAAUCCGUAGAUAUAGGGAGGAACACCAAUGGCGUAGGCAGGCUACUGGUCUAUUAUUGACACUAAGGCACGAAAGCGUGGGGAGCGAAC